rnacentral:misc_RNA from 1 species
GUAUAAGUUUACCAACGCUUGUUAAGGCGAAGAUAUGGAUUACAUUCUAUGAAUACAGAGUUGGUGAUAAAGACAUAGGGGCCUUUUUACGGGCCCUUACAUUAGGUUCACAGGUGUGUGUGGGAUUAAAGGCUCGGGUGUGCACAUGCCCCGAAAGGCCAGCUACAACCCUCGCCGGUAAUUCGAUAAUGAUCCUUCCGCAGGUUCACCUACGGAAA